UCCAGCUCGCUGGGCGUGUGUACCGUAAACUAUUUAUUUAGGUUUACAUAAAUCAGGGUUCCAGCACAUAAAACUCACAGAAAUAGGAUUCUAAAGUUUUAUAGAAUUGAGGUGAAAUCACAUCCUUCACAACUGGAUUAAGGACAAAACCCCCUCAAUUUCUUGAUGGCAGAGGGCGUUAAUGGAAUACAUUCCUUUGGAAUGCCUGACUAGUCUCUCACACUCCAAAACUGAUAUCUUUGAGAAAACUUGGAGGCCAUUCCUUGACUAUAGUAAUGUGAACAUUUCUGCCUAUGUGACAGACAGAGCUGUGGGUGGUAGUUUGUCCCUCAUGGUGUUCCAUAGAUGAACAUUCAUGGCCAGCACCUGUCUGUUGAGCUGUGAUUGGCUCACAAGGCUGAUAAAUAGCAGCAGUGGGAGUUCCAUCUAGGUGCUGGUUUCCUGGUUUGGCCUUGGUGGUGGUGCAUGCAAAAAUUCAGUGACGGCUGGCGAGAUGUCGGCUCACUUGACCGCGCAGUGGAACGCAGGUGCAUCCCACAGCGAUGGAGACGUAGAUCUCAGAGUAGGAGUGGCGCCCGCCAGCGCAGGAGCCGGUCCUUCUGAGGAUGACGGACGGAGAGUAAACUGGAGUACUGCGGUACUGCCUGCUCUCCUCUCCUGAUGGUCCAAUCAAGCAGCCUUUGCACAGACAGUAGGCCUCAGGGAUGGAGCGAGGAUAUCUGGUUGGGUCAUAGGAAAUCCUGAAAAAUACAUGGAAUCUUUUUUUUCUUCAA